rnacentral:rRNA from 1 species
AAGUUUGGACAAUGGGGGAAACCCUGAUCCAGCCAUCCCGCGUGUAUGAUGAAGGCCUUCGGGUUGUAAUGUACUUUUGUCAGAGAAGAAAAGGUAUCUCCUAAUACGAGAUACUGCUGACGGUAUCUGCAGAAUAAGCACCGCCGCACUACGUGCCAGCAGCCGCGGUAAGACGUAGGGUGCAAGCGUUAAUCGGAAUUACUGGGCGUAAAGCGUGUGUAGGCGGUUCGGAAAGAAAGAAGUGAAAUCCCAGGGCUCAACCUUGGAACUGCAUUUUUAAAUGCCGGGCUAGAGUAUGUCAGAGGGGGGUAGAAUUCCACGUGUAGCAGUGAAAUGAGUAGAUAUGUGGAGGAAUACCGAUGGCGAAGGCAGCCCCCUGGGAUAAUACUGACGCUCAGACACGAAAGCGUGGGGAGCAAACA